rnacentral:rRNA from 1 species
CCUACGGGAGGCAGCAGUGAGGAAUAUUGGUCAAUGGACGCAAGUCUGAACCAGCCAUGCCGCGUGCAGGAAGACGGCUCUAUGAGUUGUAAACUGCUUUUGUACGAGGGUAAAUCCCGAUACGUGUAUCGGGUUGAAAGUAUCGUCAGAAUAAGGAUCGGCUAAAUCCGUGCCAGCAGCCGCGGUAAAACGGAGGAUUCAAGCGUUAACCGGAUUUAUUGGGUUUAAAGGGGUCGGUGGCGGUUCGAUAAGUUAGAGGUGAAAGCCCGGGGCCCAACUCCGGCACUGCCUCUGAUACUGUCGUGCUAGAGUGUGGUUGCGGUAGGCGGAAUGUAUGGUGUAGCGGUGAAAUGCAUAGAGAUCAGACAGAACACCGAUUGCGAAGGCAGCUUACCAAACUACGACUGACGUUGAGGCACGAAAGCGUGGGGAGCAAACAGGAUUAGAUACCCCUGUAGUC